GAUGAACGCUGGCGGCGUGCCUAAUACAUGCAAGUCGAGCGGAGUUAUGAAGGAGCUUGCUCCUGAAUAACUUAGCGGCGGACGGGUGAGUAACACGUAGGCAACCUACCUCUUAGACUGGGAUAACUACCGGAAACGGUAGCUAAUACCGGAUAAUUCCUUAGCUCUCCUGAGCGUGGGAUGAAAGGCGGAGCAAUCUGCUACUUGGAGAUGGGCCUGCGGCGCAUUAGCUAGUUGGUGAGGUAACGGCUCACCAAGGCGACGAUGCGUAGCCGACCUGAGAGGGUGAACGGCCACACUGGGACUGAGACACGGCCCAGACUCCUACGGGAGGCAG
rnacentral:rRNA from 1 species